UACGUAGGUGGCAAGCGUUGUCCGGAUUUACUGGGCGUAAAGAGCGCGCAGGCGGUCGUUCAAGUCGCGUGUGAAAGCCCCCGGCUCAACUGGGGAGGGUCAUUCGAUACUGAUCGACUCGAAGGCAGGAGAGGGUAGUGGAAUUCCCGGUGUAGUGGUGAAAUGCGUAGAUAUCGGGAGGAACACCAGCGGCGAAGGCGACUACCUGGCCUGUUCUUGACGCUGAGGCGCGAAAGCUAGGGGAGCAAACGGG
rnacentral:rRNA from 1 species